rnacentral:misc_RNA from 1 species
AUAUAUUUGAAAGCUAUCUUCAUAGAUUCAAGCCAACAAACAAUCUCAUACUAUAACAAUACAAAUAUAUAACAGAAAAACUAAAUGACUGCAACUUUCAGCUGCUACCUAUUCAUCACUAUAUAACGUGCAUUACUAGCGAAAUUACGGUUUCUAAGAUGAUUACCAAUAUGUACAUAGAAUCUGAAUCUAAGCUGUUUGCAUCUGGAGAUGAUUGCUGGCAACACGUUCUUCUUGUUUCGUUGGUUGAUCAUCUGAAUCCAGUUCUGGUUGAUUAAGGUUCCGGACGAAUUGAGUGAAUGCAGGGAAAUGUUCAGGAGAAAAGAAAUCAGCACCCAUUCUUUGAUAUGUGAACAAGCUCAUUUCCUUUUCACUUGACAACAACUUCUUUAUCUGUUCGAAACCAUUUGGUGCAUUUGCAACCAUUGAGUUUUGCCCUAAGAUUUCCACUCCGUGCUUUCUGCAAGAUGAUGUAAUUUGAGCAACUAACAACUCUGGGCUCGAGAGAGAUUCAUUUGGCUGGUGAUUGUCCGAGAGAUCCAUCCCAGGCAAGAUAAGUUGGCACGAAUGCUUUGCAAACAUCUCAACGACUUCUACAUAACCAUCUCUGUUGGCUGUGUUAUAGAAACCGGCUGUUAGCUCGCUAGGAUGGGAUCGGGUUUUAUACCAAGAAUGCACAAGAGGAAGUUUGCCACAAAUGGAGAUAGGAACGUCAUGGAAUGUUUCAGUGGCAAGUGAAAGAAGUCGGCUUCCAUGAGAAAUGAGCUGCUCCGAGUACCAAGAAAGGAAAAAGUUACCAUAAGUUGUCUCCCAAGAUCCUUCAUUAUCCUUGAAGAAGGUGCUUGUCAUGGGUGGUUGAUCAGAACCAGGGGCAUCGUGUGGACCGCCCAAUCCCCACAGAGGAUUUCCAUUGCUCUCGGCAUACUGUUUGAGAGAACUCAGCAUGUAUUUAUCAUAACACUGAAACUCACCAGCUCCUUGAUGAUUGUUCAUUUUGGAUGGAUUGUGAUGAGAAGGAUAGCGAAGCUCGCCUUCUGGUCCUAGACCAAGGGAAACGCCCGUGAUUGUGGAGCCCAUGAACGGUGAAAAUGCAGUCUUGAAGCUCUCACAGAACUCUUUGUACACUUGAACCGGAGUCUUCCCAUCGAGGACAGGAACAUCAGUAACAGCAAAUGAAAGAGAAUCCUUAUAGUGUUGUCCUGAUUGGUCCUUAAAGAAGAUACUAGGAUCAGAUUCACCAAUCUGAGAAACCCAUUCUGGGAGUUGAAUUUUGGCUUCCUUUGAUGCAUGGAAGGAAAGUGACACAUGAAGCUUAAGUCCCAACUUUUGGAUCAUUUCAGCAAGUGCAAGGUAGCCUGUCCAGUCAUACUUUCCCCUGGUUUCCUUCUCAACAACUCCCCACCAGACGGGGAGUUCUAUGCCAUCUACACCUAGUAACUUCAAUGCUUUUAAUCCAGCUGCAAUUGCUCUAGCAUGGUUUAUUGUAUUACUACUUGAAACAGCAUCAAGUGGCAACCCAACAAAUAGUUUCACACCAUCACUCGUCUUAGUUUCUCUGUUAUUCUUCAAUAUGAGUGGUUCAGGUUGCGAACAAGCAGAUGCUUUCAAACUAAACCUAUUCAAAGACUUGGAACGCAAUUUUAUACACAAUUUCGAACUUUUCAAAGAAGAUGAAGAAGAAGAG